UUCCCGGGGGGCCGCGCACGCGGCUGAGAGUGGUUCUGCCUGACCCGUUUACCUGAUCCGGAUAAUGCCGGCGUAGGAAGAGAAUA
rnacentral:ncRNA from 1 species